CAAUUAGUAAUAAAGAUGAAGGACUAUUAGCUUGGUUACACACUCAUUGAGUAUCCCAAUGCUGUAUUCUCUACUCAGCCAGCAGUCUGUAUGUUAACAAGGUGGAAGCUGAGACACAUUAUAACACGUGAUAGCCAACAGCAUCUUUCAUGAAUUGAGGACACCAGAACUGGGUACACUAUUUUAGCUGCAGUCACCCAAGUACCAAAUACAGGGUGUUCACAUGGCAUUUCUCAGAGCUAGAAGCAAGAAAAAGCAGCACAAUUCCAACAAGAAGUUUUCAACUAACAC